GGAAAUAUGGCUCAAAUGGUGCAGCAUCUGCCUUGGAAGUAUAAGUACUUUAGUUCAAAUCUCAGUAUCACCA
rnacentral:tRNA from 1 species